GAAGCCAGAUCUUUGUAGCUGUAAAGAA
rnacentral:piRNA from 1 species